GACGAACGCUGGCGGCGUGCCUAAUACAUGCAAGUCGAGCGCAGGAAAUCAUCCGAACCCUUCGGGGGGACGUUGAUGGAAUGAGCGGCGGACGGGUGAGUAACACGUAAAGAACCUGCCCAUAGGUCUGGGAUAACCACGAGAAAUCGGGGCUAAUACCGGAUGUGUCAUCGGACCGCAUGGUCCGCUGAUGAAAGGCGCUCCGGCGUCGCCCAUGGCUGGCCUUGCGGUGCAUUAGCUAGUUGGUGGGGUAACGGCCCACCAAGGCGACGAUGCAUAGCCGACCUGAGAGGGUGAUCGGCCACACUGGGACUGAGACACGGCCCAGACUCCUACGGGAGGCAGCAGUAGGGAAUCUUCCACAAUGGACGAAAGUCUGAUGGAGCAACGCCGCGUGAACGAUGAAGGCUUUCGGGUCGUAAAGUUCUGUUGUAAGGGAAGAACAAGUGCCGCAGGCAAUGGCGGCACCUUGACGGUACCUUGCGAGAAAGCCACGGCUAACUACGUGCCAGCCGCCGCCGUAA
rnacentral:rRNA from 1 species